rnacentral:tRNA from 1 species
AGGGGCGUAGUUCAAUUGGCAGAACGCUGGUCUCCAAAACCAGAUAUUGGGGGUUCGAGUCCCUCCGUCCCUGCCA